rnacentral:rRNA from 1 species
GGCUCAGAUAUAGAUACUUUAGUCGGCUUGUUUAACACAUGCAAGCACGCCCGAGAAUUCUCUUUGCUCGCACGAGCGCGUAAAGUGGCGCACAGGAAGAAUAAACGCGUGGGUAGCCUGCCUUUGAGUUGGGGGUAAUCCGCAGUAAGGUAGCCCUACUACCAAAUACUGUCCUGAGACCCAAGGACACAUUGGGAUGAAAAGCUGACCUCUUCGCGAAAGCUGGAGUUUAGGGAGGGGCCCGCGUACCAUUAGACUUGUUGGUAGGGUAAAGGCCUACCAAGGUUACGAUGGUUAGCUGGUCUGAGAAAGAUGGUCCAGCCACCCUGGAGCUGCCACACGGUCCGGACUCCUACGGGAGGCAGC